rnacentral:hammerhead_ribozyme from 1 species
AUCCAGCUGACGAGUCCCGAAUAGGACGAAUUGCGCCUCCUGGAU